rnacentral:rRNA from 1 species
GACGAACGCUGGCGGCGUGCUUAACACAUGCAAGUCGAACGGAAAGGCCCCGCUUUUGUGGGGUGCUCGAGUGGCGAACGGGUGAGUAACACGUGAGUAACCUGCCCUUGACUUUGGGAUAACUUCAGGAAACUGGGGCUAAUACCGGAUAGGAGCUCCUGCUGCAUGGUGGGGGUUGGAAAGUUUCGGCGGUUGGGGAUGGACUCGCGGCUUAUCAGCUUGUUGGUGGGGUAGUGGCUUACCAAGGCUUUGACGGGUAGCCGGCCUGAGAGGGUGACCGGCCACCUUGGGCCUGCGAGACGGCCCAGACUCCUACGGGAGGCAGCAGUGGGGAGUAUUGCACAAUGGGCGGACGCCUGAUGCAGCAACGCUGCGUGCGGGAUGACGGCCUUCGGGUUGUAAACCGCUUUCGCCUGUGACGAAGCGUGAGUGACGGUAAUGGGUAAAGAAGCACCGGCUAACUACGUG